rnacentral:lncRNA from 1 species
GGUAUCUCUUUUUGGAGCGACCCAGGAUGCAGUUGAGUAAGACUUGUGGGAACACUGGGAACCAGACACCAGAGUCAGGUUCCAGGAAAACACACUGUCCUGUACCCAGACUUUAGGUAACUGCCCAGACACACACAGGAGCACGCAGCGAAAGGCGCUAGACGCAACAGGGGGCGCACGAAGCUCCACCGACCGCGUCAGCACAGGUGGGUCAGCCCCAGGCUGGCACACGGUACCGACGGGGUUCACUCUGCCGACGGAACCAGACAGUGUCACAUUCCCCACGCCCGCUCCGGCUCCUCUUACCCAGCGCGCGGCAGCUCCCAAGGACCAGCGCGACUGCGGGCGCGGCCAGCAGGGCGACCAGCAGGGUGCAGCCGACGGCCAGCAUGGUUCCUUCUACGUGGGGCGGCGGGCGGCGGA